GCUUGCUGUUUCGCUGACGAGUGGCGGACGGGUGAGUAAUGUCUGGGAAACUGCCUGAUGGAGGGGGAUAACUACUGGAAACGGUAGCUAAUACCGCAUAAUGUCGCAAGACCAAAGAGGGGGACCUUCGGGCCUCUUGCCAUCGGAUGUGCCCAGAUGGGAUUAGCUAGUAGGUGGGGUAACGGCUCACCUAGGCGACGAUCCCUAGCUGGUCUGAGAGGAUGACCAGCCACACUGGAACUGAGACACGGUCCAGACUCCUACGGGAGGCAGCAGUGGGGAAUAUUGCACAAUGGGCGCAAGCCUGAUGCAGCCAUGCCGCGUGUAUGAAGAAGGCCUUCGGGUUGUAAAGUACUUUCAGCGGGGAGGAAGGGAGUAAAGUUAAUACCUUUGCUCAUUGACGUUACCCGCAGAAGAAGCACCGGCUAACUCCGUGCCAGCAGCCGCGGUAAUACGGAGGGUGCAAGCGUUAAUCGGAAUUACUGGGCGUAAAGCGCACGCAGGCGGUUUGUUAAGUCAGAUGUGAAAUCCCCGGGCUCAACCUGGGAACUGCAUCUGAUACUGGCAAGCUUGAGUCUCGUAGAGGGGGGUAGAAUUCCAGGUGUAUCGGUGAAAUGCGUACAGAUCUGGAGGAAUACCGGUGG
rnacentral:rRNA from 1 species